rnacentral:rRNA from 1 species
CCUAUGGGUGGCUGCAGUGAGGAAUAUUGGUCAAUGGGCGCGAGCCUGAACCAGCCAAGUAGCGUGAAGGAUGACUGCCCUACGGGUUGUAAACUUCUUUUAUAAAGGAAUAAAGUGAGGCACGUGUGCCUUUUUGUAUGUACUUUAUGAAUAAGGAUCGGCUAACUCCGUGCCAGCAGCCGCGGUAAUACGGAGGAUCCGAGCGUUAUCCGGAUUUAUUGGGUUUAAAGGGAGCGUAGAUGGUUUGUUAAGUCAGUUGUGAAAGUUUGCGGCUCAACCGUAAAAUUGCAAUUGAUACUGGCAGCCUUGAGAGCAGUUGAGGUAGGCGGAAUUCGUGGUGUAGCGGUGAAAUGCUUAGAUAUCACGAAGAACUCCGAUUGCGAAGGCAGCUUACUAAACUGCCACUGACAUUGAUGCUCGAAAGUGUGGGUAUCAAACAGGAUUAGAUACCCUUGUAGUC